GACGAACGCUGGCGGCAGGCUUAACACAUGCAAGUCGAGCGCCCCGCAAGGGGAGCGGCAGACGGGUGAGUAACGCGUGGGAAUCUACCCAUCCCUACGGAAUAGCUCCGGGAAACUGGAAUUAAUACCGUAUACGCCCUACGGGGGAAAGAUUUAUCGGGGAUGGAUGAGCCCGCGUUGGAUUAGCUAGUUGGUGGGGUAAAGGCCUACCAAGGCGACGAUCCAUAGCUGGUCUGAGAGGAUGAUCAGCCACAUUGGGACUGAGACACGGCCCAAACUCCUACGGGAGGCAGCAGUGGGGAAUAUUGGACAAUGGGGGCAACCCUGAUCCAGCCAUGCCGCGUGAGUGAUGAAGGCCUUAGGGUUGUAAAGCUCUUUCACCGGGGAAGAUAAUGACGGUACCCGGAGAAGAAGCCCCGGCUAACUUCGUGCCAGCCGCCGCCGUAAGAC
rnacentral:rRNA from 1 species